AACGAAGAAGAUUAUGAUGAUUUUCUUGGACAUGGUAGCGAAAAACAUGAAGUGGGGAACAUGUAAUACCCUAAAACUCGACACCCUUGAUUUAUUAGAAUAACAUAAUUUUUACACAACCUCGAUGUUAUACAUUCACAACAUAUAUCUUUCUUGCAAAUUAUAACAUGAAACAUGCAGCAGAAUAAAAUAUCAAAACUUCAAAGAAAACACUUAUUGAUCUCAUCAAAAUUUACUAAUUAAAAUAACUCAGACAUCUCAAGAAACAUAAAAUAUAAAAAAGCC
rnacentral:lncRNA from 1 species